rnacentral:rRNA from 1 species
GAUCCUGGCUCAGGACGAACGCUGGCGGCGUGCUUAACACAUGCAAGUCGAACGAGGUGCAGCGAGUUGAAGCUUCGGCGGAAACAUGCUGUUACCGAGUGGCGGACGGGUGAGUAACGCGUGAGCAACCUGCCCUGCAACGGGGGACAACAGUUGGAAACGACUGCUAAUACCGCAUGAGACCACGGUUUCGCAUGGAACUGAGGUAAAAGGAUUUAUUCGAUGCAGGAUGGG